rnacentral:hammerhead_ribozyme from 1 species
AUCCAACUGACGAGUUCCGAAUAAGACGAAACGCGCGUCCUGAAU